AAUAUUUGACAAUGGGGGAAACCCUGAACCAGCCCUCCCGCGUGUAUGAUGAAGGCCUUCGGGCUUUAAAGUACUUUUGUGCGGGGAUAAAAGUUAUGUCCUAUUACGAGAUACGCCUGAUGGUAUCUGCAGAAGCAGCUCCGGCCAACUACGUGCCAGCAGCCGCGGUACUACGUAGGGUGACAGCGUUAGUCGGAAUUAGUGUGCGUAAAGCGUGUGUAGGCGGUUCGGACAGAAAGAUGUGAAAUCCCAGGGCGCAACCUUGGACCUGCAUUUUUAACAGCCGAGCUAGAGUAUGUCAGAGGAGGGUGGAAUUCCACGUGUAGCAGUGAAAUGCGUAGAUAUGUGAAGGAAUACCGAUGGCGAAGGCAGCCCCCUGGGAUAAUACUGACGCUCAGACACGAAAGAGUGGGGAGCAAACA
rnacentral:rRNA from 1 species